UAACAACUCACUAUUCCACCCCUGAAAACAGGGUUUUACUCUAUCACCCAGGCUGGAGUACAGAGGCACCAUCUCAGCUUACUGCAGCCUUGACCUCUCAGGCUCAACAGAUCCUCCCACUUCAGCCUCCUGACUAGCUGGGGCUACAGGCGCGCGCCACCACAUCCGGCACUGGGGAAGAAGCAUUUCUAACAGGAGCCUGCAUGCUGAGGAUGGCAGAGGAAAAAGACAGAGCCAUACUGAGCCCUUGGAGAUGCCACUGAGGAGCUACGCUAACCAAUCCUGGAGGCACCAUAACCUAGGACUUCUUCUUAUACAAGGAUGCUAGAGAGCAGUCUUCAGCCUGAGACCCAUCUCUAGCUUCUAACAACUCAGUAUACUCCUAUGAACAAAAUUUGGAGCAUAUUUGUUUCUCUCUACCUGAUUUCUUCAGACUGUGGAAACUAUUUGAAUCAAACUUGACUUAUGGAUCCAAUAAAGCCCUUGGAAAAACUGGCCUCAUAUUUUGUGUAAACAGUCCCCGUACAGGGUUUCUGACUUGUGUUUUCCUAAUUUGGAAUCACUGAAAACUAAGUUUUGCUUUCUUAAAACCCUGUGAACUGAAGCCAGACAACUUAAACUUCAGAAGAAAAUAACAGCAACCUAUUUGCAUACAUAAGCCACUUGCAUACCUGCCUACUAAUGUAUGGACUUCAGAGUAAUGUGGCUGAUAUACAUUUUUCCAGGAUUGUUCUUUUGUUUAUUGUUGUUUUUCUCCCUUCUUCCCCCAAUUUUCUCUUCAUAGGACAUGAGACUUCACAGCCUGCUAAAAAUAAGCUUUUGGGACCUACCCAUUUAGGAAUAAACAGUCCUAGCCUUGAGAGAUCAGAUGAAAUCUGAGGCCAGAGACUCAUUUUCUUCUAAAAUGCUUUCUCCAAAAGAUUUUUAAAUAGAAAAGAGGGGAAAUGUGAAAGGAAAAUGUCUUCAGCCCCUUCAAGCUGGGAACUCUCAGUACAAAUCUGUCUCUCAUUCUAUUCAAAGUCAUUUCUCUGCUCAGAGAUAGAUGCAUAUUCUGAUUGCCUUCUUUGGAAAGACUUACCAGAAACUCAAAAGAAUGCAACCAUCUGUCUCUCACCUACCUGUGACCUGGAAGCCCAUAGGGUAAAGGGGGCUUGCUUUGAGUUGUCUCUACUUUUCUGAAUGGAAUGAAUGUACUUCUUACAUUUAUUGAUUGAUGUCUCAUGUUUCCCUAAAAUGUAUAAAACCAAUCUGUGCCCCGGCCACCCUGGGCAUGUGUUGUCAGGACUUCCUAAGGCUAUGUCACAGGUGCAUCCUCAACUUUGGCAAAUAAACUUUCUAAAUUAACUGAGA
rnacentral:lncRNA from 1 species